rnacentral:rRNA from 1 species
CCCGGUCAUUUAGAGGAAGUAAAAGUCGUAACAAGGUCUCCGUAGGUGAACC